CCUCGGGCCCUGUGCAAUAUAACCCUCGAACCAUGUCAGGUCCGGAAGGAAGCAGCAUUAAGAGGCCAGUUAUAUGUGCCGCAGGUCUCCCGGGGCCC
rnacentral:SRP_RNA from 1 species